UGCCAGCCGCCGCGGUAAUACGGAGGGUGCAAGCGUUGUUCGGAAUUAUUGGGCGUAAAGCGCGUGUAGGCGGUUCGUUAAGUCUGAUGUGAAAGCCCGGGGCUCAACCCCGGAAGUGCAUUGGAAACUGGCGAACUUGAGUACGGGAGAGGAAGUGGAAUUUCCGGUGUAGGGGUGAAAUCCGUAGAUAUUCGGAGGAACACCAGUGGCGAAGGCGGCUUUCUGGACCGAUACUGACGCUGAGGCGCGAAGGCGUGGGUAGCGAACGGGAUUAGAUA
rnacentral:rRNA from 1 species